rnacentral:rRNA from 1 species
UCCAGACUCCUACGGGAGGCAGCAGUGGGGAAUAUUGGGCAAUGGGCGAAAGCCUGACCCAGCAACGCCGCGUGAGGGAAGACGGCCUUCGGGUUGUAAACCUCUGUCGCAGGGGACGAAGAAGAUGACGGUACCCUGUGAGGAAGCCACGGCUAACUACGUGCCAGCAGCCGCGGUAAUACGUAGGUGGCGAGCGUUGUCCGGAAUUACUGGGUGUAAAGGGAGCGUAGGCGGGAUAUUAAGUUGAAUGUAUAAACUAUGAGCUCAACUGAUAGAAGCGUUCAAAACUGAUAUUCUUGAGUGAAGUAGAGGCAGGCGGAAUUCCUAGUGUAGCGGUGAAAUGCGUAGAUAUUAGGAGGAACACCAGUGGCGAAGGCGGCCUGCUGGGCUUUAACUGACGCUGAGGCUCGAAAGCGUGGGUAGCAAACAGGAUUAGAUACCCCCGUAAA